rnacentral:rRNA from 1 species
UACAGAGGUCCCGAGCGUUGUUCGGAUUUAUUGGGCGUAAAGGGUGCGUAGGCGGCGGAGUAAGUUGGGUGUGAAAUCCCGAGGCUCAACCUCGGAAUUGCAUUCAAUACUGCUUCGCUCGAGUACUGGAGAGGAGGCUGGAAUUUACGGUGUAGCAGUGAAAUGCGUAGAUAUCGUAAGGAAGGCCGGUGGCGAAAGCGGGUCUCUGGACAGUUCCUGACACUGAGACACGAAGGCCAGGGGAGCAAACGGG